CGGGCUGCGACGAGGGCGUCGUGCGGUCGAUGAGCCCGGGUAGAGGGCAGCACGGAGCCGCGGAGUGUGGGGAGCCCCUCGGCCCCGCAUCUCUACGUCGGUCGCCCCGUUUCCUUGCGCAUACUGUAGAGUCGCGCCGCGCGCUCACUAAUGCGUCAUACCGCCUCCCGAGUUAACGCGUAUCCGUACGCCCCGCGACGGCACUUCGCGCGCGCCAUGUGAACUUCUGUGUUAACUUGUAUCAUAAAUAAUUAUUGAAGUAAUGCACAUUGCAAAAAUGUUCGAGUCCGUGCGAUCGACGUGCUCUUUUGCGAUGAUAAUUUGGACACGAUGGACAGUGCGAAAGGUGGCCGUGCCCGAGACGUCGGAGCGGUUCACGAGGUCGGCGCACGUGUUCGCCCCGAAUUCGGAACCAUCGAAACCCGAAUGUAAGAGGCGCAGUGAAGACAGAAAUCAAUACCUCAUCGCACACUCACAGCUUUCGAGGAAGCAAUGCAUUGAAAGUGGCUUUAAAAUCUUUCUGUGCGUCAGUUCACGGUACAUAAAACUUCGAAGAAGAUGAAUCCGUAUACUUAUUAAAGGAUGUAAUUAGCUUCAGACCUGACGGAUUUUGUACAGCUACACAGGUCAACAAGUCUUCGCUUGGAAAUAUGAAUCAAUCAACGCCAUUUUAACAGCUUGCGGACGUCCAGUGCCGUGGUGCCAGGCUAGCCAAGCUUCCGUUCCGAGGCUGAAGAUUGAAAUCAUUCUCAGGUAUCCACCAGCGUUAGUGAAAACCUUUUGGAAAAUGGCAGUAAUUAUUGGUAUAGACUAUGGAUUAUUUUCAUUGAACUACUAAAAAGUCAAAUAACAAUAUGUAAUAAUCCAACUGCGGGGCCAAUUAUUGCAUUGCUGCCUUGUAUAGCGACAGCUUUUAAAUUGGAUGUUGGAAAUCAAUGUACCUACAGCUUUUCUUUGCUGAAAUGUCUUAAUAAAUAACUACGCGAGAGAAUCACAAUAAGAAACGAGCUUGAAUCAAACGUUGGAACAUUUAAUGGUGCACUUCAAAUAUUGCAAAGAUAGAGAGAAGAAACAGCUUUAGCCGGAUUAAAAACAUAGUGGUACUUGAUUACCUGUUUUGGGGCAAAGCUGGAUUAAUUCUUAGAGAUAGUUGUGAUACUAGCAAUUAUCAAUAUAAUUGGACAAAGUCAAUGCGAAAGAAGCCUUUGCCUAAAUUGAACGUGAAGAUAUUGAAUACUAAUCUACUGGCUAACAUUGGAGAGACCGGAUUCAUUCACUUACCAGUGUUAUGGAUAUGCGUGGAGGAAGAUGAUGAAUUUGCUGAGGAUCAAAUCAUGUGCCACUCUUUGGAAAUCUUUCAUUAUGGCAAUCGGCGAAUUGCCAGAGAACAAUAUAAGACAAAAUCUUUUUAACGAGACAUCGAUAUUGUUGGAGCGUGUGACACAGGGAUGACAAAAUUCAUUGUUGAGUCGAAAAAUGAUGAAGAUCCACAAAACCUUUGCAGUACCUACUCAAAAAACCCCCAUUUGACAGCUUAGAAGAUAGAUAAAAAAGCGAGAGAUGAACGAGCUCAGACAUAAAAAAUGUUAUGUUUUAAAGCACCUCACUCUACUUUUCUCAUGAAAAAUAAAGAUUUUCUAGGGAUAUUCAAAAAUGUAAUCUAAUGCGCACGAAGUUCCGGGUAAGUACUACAAAAACAACUAAUACAAUAAAAGCGCGAGCGAAGCGAGCGCGAAAUUUUUAUUAAUUGUAUUUACGAAAUAAUAUUACCGAAAGUACUUUUCAGGGCUUAUCUUUUUAGGUAAAAUUUGGUACUAUUCAGUGGUACCUUGCAUUGUAUACCUAGGUAUUUUAUCCCAAAAAAACUGAGUUUCCACGGAGUUUGAACGAAGUUCCGGUAAUCAACUAACAUAAUAUGAAAGCGCGAGCGAAGCGAGCGCAAAUUUAUUGAUAGAUUUACAAAAACUUGUAAAUUCGAGAACUAACUAAUAUAGCAUUUUGAAAACAAUUUCUUUUGGCUACGGCCAUGUUAACAAUAAUAACAUUUAAGUUAAAACACACGCACUGGAAUAAUGAGAAACUGAUUACUUACCAUUUCUUGUAAUUAAUGAAUUUGCAGCAACAAUUUUUAAGAAUACUUAUUUUAUUUUUAUUUUAUUUUAUUUAUUACGGUAUAGUUACAUGGUACACUCAUAAACACAUAAGGUUUAGGUAGAAAGAAAUUUUAGUUUUUUAACUUAGAACUAACUAUGUUAUGAUAUUAUGUUGAAGUUUAGUCGUUCCGAUCGAGGUUAGGUCUAGCUAGACGUUACGUACUAAGUAGUCGACAAGCGCGCGCAAGUGUGGCGCGGUAAAAUUCAAAUUUUCGAUGCGUUCGUUCCCAAACGUUUGCCAUCAUACAAAGUUAUUAUAUUAUAUAAAAAUUAAUUAAAUAUUGAAGGUAUGUAGUUACAUAAAUCUGAAUGGUGACAAAAUAUAUAAAUAAAAUCAUCAUGUUCAAUUAAUGGUCCACCUAAGUCCUGGAACCAGCUCAGGGGGGGGGGGGGUCAUGACCCCCAUGACCCCCCCCCUGGAUCCGCCGUUGAGUCCACACUUAUAUAGUUUCCCUAUCUUGUAAAUAACUACAAACUUGACAUUGGCUAAUCUCUGUAAAGCCAGACGAGAGAGAAAAAUAAAACCUACUAUAUUCUUGGAACAUGUACGGUGGCAUUUUUUUACUAUCUGUGCCGUUUCUGAUAUGCCUUUUUCUUUCAGAUCGAUAGCUUCAUCUGCUGGUGUUCAAUACCGAUACAUAUUAUAAUAUUUUGAGAAUAAAAAUAUUAAAUUGA